GUUUGUAAGAAUUUAUGAAAAUAAUAGAUUACAUCAAUUUUUACAAAUUGGUUUGAGCUUAUUUUCAUAAGUUCUUCAAUAUCAUUUUAGUCUGUGAAAGUGUAUCUUUCAUUAAUUAAGCCGGAGAGAUACGUGUAUAUAGGCAUGUAUGUAAUGUUUUUGUGAUUAAGUGUUUGUUUAGAUUGACUUAUGUAAGUUCAUUUGCCGAUAUAAAUUUUGUGAGACAGUUUUAUAGAAUUUAUGAAACAAUUUACAACAAUUUUCAUAAAUUUGUUUAAACUUACCUACCAUGAUUGCCUACAAUUAUGUUAUUUUGACGUAUUCACAUACAACCUUACUUUGUAGGAUUGAGAUGACAUAACACAUUCGGUAUUGAAUUAUAAAUCUUGUGAUCAUAAUCCAAUGACCACGGUUGUUCUGAAUUCGACCAAAAAAUAACUUUAGAGAUUCCUAUUUGGUUUCUUUUGAAGAUCAUAUGAAAAUAAACGCAAAGAGAUCAACUCAAUCAAUUGAAUUCUUGAAUUAUUAUAACUCAUAUCUGUUCGGGAUAUAUCAAAAUAGUCUCACAUCGC
rnacentral:lncRNA from 1 species